rnacentral:rRNA from 1 species
CAGCCUGAUGCAGCGACGCCGCGUGGGGGAUGACGGCCUUCGGGUUGUAAACCUCUUUCAGUAGGGACGAAGCGCAAGUGACGGUACCUAUAGAAGAAGGACCGGCCAACUACGUGCCAGCAGCCGCGGUAAUACGUAGGGUCCGAGCGUUGUCCGGAAUUACUGGGCGUAAAGAGCUCGUAGGUGGUUUGUCACGUUGUUCGUGAAAACCCACAACUCAAUUGUGGGCGUGCGGGCGAUACGGGCAGACUAGAGUACUGCAGGGGAGACUGGAAUUCCUGGUGUAGCGGUGGAAUGCGCAGAUAUCAGGAGGAACACCGGUGGCGAAGGCGGGUCUCUGGGCAGUAACUGACGCUGAGGAGCGAAAGCGUGGGGAGCGAACAGGAUUAGAUACCCUGGUAGUCCACGCCGUAAACGGUGGGUACUAGGUGUGGGUUUCCUUCCUUGGGAUCCGUGCCGUAGCUAACGCAUUAAGUACCCCGCCUGGGGAGUACGGCCGCAAGGCUAAAACUCAAAGAAAUUGACGGGGGCCCGCACAAGCGGCGGAGCAUGUGGAUUAAUUCGAUGCAACGCGAAGAACCUUACCUGGGUUUGACAUGCACAGGACGUGCCUAGAGAUAGGUAUUCCCUUGUGGUCUG